GGGAACCUCACCCGGCCCGGACACCGCGAGGAUUGACAGACUGAGAGCUGUUUCUCGAUUCGGUGGGUGGUGCAUGGCCGUUCUUAGUUGGUGGAGCGAUCUGUCUGGUUAAUUCCGAUAACGAACGAGGCCCCAACCUGCUAACUAGCCCUCGGGUCCCGCUUCUGUUGGGCCCGACGGAAUGAUUCGCUUCUUAGAGGGACUCGCGGCGCCUAGCCGCACGAAGGGGGGCGAUAA
rnacentral:rRNA from 1 species